AGAGUUUGAUCCUGGCUCAGAACGAACGCUGGCGGCGUGGAUAAGACAUGCAAGUCGAGCGGGAUUUCUUUCUGUAGCAAUACAGAGAGAAGUCCAGCGGCGAACGGGUGCGUAACACGUGGGCAAUCUGUCUUAAAGUGGGGGAUAGCUCGGCGAAAGCCGAAUUAAUACCGCAUGUGAUCAGGGAAGACAUCUUUCCGAAAUCAAAGGUGGCGCAAGCUACCGCUUUUUGAGGGGCCCGCGGCCUAUCAGCUUGUUGGUGAGGUAACGGCUCACCAAGGCUAUGGCGGGUAGCUGGUCUGAGAGGACGACCAGUCACACUGGGACUGAGACACGGCCCAGACACCUACGGGUGGCAGCAGUCGAGAAUUUUUGACAAUGGGGGAAACCCUGAUCGAGCGACGCCGCGUGGAGGAUGAAGGUCUUCGGGUUGUAAACUCCUGUCAUUUGGGAACAAGGCGCACGUAUUAACUGUGCGCGCGUUGAUAGUACCAGAAGAGGAAGAGACGGCUAACUCUGUGCCAGCAGCCGCGGUAAUACAGAGGUCUCAAGCGUUGUUCGGAUUCAUUGGGCGUAAAGGGUGUGUAGGUGGCGCGCUAAGUCGGGUGUGAAAUUUCGGAGCUUAACUCCGAAACUGCAUUCGAUACUGGCGUGCUUGAGGACUGGAGAGGAGACUGGAAUUUACGGUGUAGCAGUGAAAUGCGUAGAUAUCGUAAGGAAGACCAGUGGCGAAGGCGGGUCUCUGGACAGUUCCUGACACUGAGACACGAAGGCCAGGGGAGCAAACGGGAUUAGAUACCCUAGUAGUCC
rnacentral:rRNA from 1 species